GGCUCCAUAGUGUAGUGGUUAGCAUGUCUGCUUUACACGCAGAAGGCUCUGGGUUCACACCCCAGGUGGAGCCA
rnacentral:tRNA from 1 species